rnacentral:misc_RNA from 1 species
GAUGAAGAACGCAGCGAAAUGCGAUACGUAAUGUGAAUUGCAGAAUUCAGUGAAUCAUCGAGUCUUUGGACGCACAUUGCGCCCCCUGGUAUUCCGGGGGGCAUGCCUGUCCGAGCGUCAUUACAACCCUCAAGCUCAGCUUGGUGUUGGGCCCCGCCGCCCCGGCGGGCCCUAAAGUCAGUGGCGGUGCCGUCCGGCUCCGAGCGUAGUAAUUCUUCUCGCUCUGGAGGUCCGGUCGUGUGCUCGCCAGCAACCCCCAAUUUUUUUCAGGUUGACCUCGGAUCAGGUAGGGAUACCCGCUGAACUUAAGCAUAUCAAUAAGCGGAGGA